rnacentral:rRNA from 1 species
UGGGAAGUAUUGCAUCAAUGGGCGGCAAGCCAUGACUGCAGCCAUGCCGCGCUGUAUGAAGAAGGCCAAUCCGGGGCUUCGGUUAAAGAUACUUUUCAGCGAGGAGGAAGGUGUUGUGGUUAAUAACCACAGCAAUUGACGUUACUCGCAGAAGAAGCACCGGCUAACUCCGUGCCAGCAGCCGCGGUAAUACGGAGGGUGCAAGCGUUAAUCGGAAUUACUGGGCGUAAAGCGCACGCAGGCGGUCUGUCAAGUCGGAUGUGAAAUCCCCGGGCUCAACCUGGGAACUGCAUCCGAAACUGGCAGGCUAGAGUCUUGUAGA